rnacentral:rRNA from 1 species
AAACCAGCACCUCAAGUGGUCAGGAGGAUUAUUGGGCCUAAAGCAUCCGUAGCCUGUUCUAUAAGUUCCCGGUUAAAUCCACUAGCUCAACUAGUGGGCUGCCGAAAAUACUGUAGAACUAGGGAGUGGGAGAGGUAGACGGUAUUCGGUAGGAAGGGGUAAAAUCCUUUGAUCUAUUGAGGACCACCUGUGGCGAAGGCGGUCUACCAGAACACGCUCGACGGUGAGGGAUGAAAGCUGGGGGAGCAAACCGGAUUAGAAACCCGAGUAGUCC